UACGUAGGGUGCGAGCGUUAAUCGGAAUUACUGGGCGUAAAGCGUGCGCAGGCGGUUUUGUAAGCCAGAUGUGAAAUCCCCGGGCUUAACCUGGGAACUGCAUUUGUGACUGCAUAGCUAGAGUACGGUAGAGGGGGAUGGAAUUCCGCGUGUAGCAGUGAAAUGCGUAGAGAUGCGGAGGAACACCGAUGGCGAAGGCAGCCCCCUGGGCUAACACUGACGCUCAGGCACGAAAGCGUGGGGAGCAAACAGG
rnacentral:rRNA from 1 species